AUUGAACGCUGGCGGCAGGCCUAACACAUGCAAGUCGAGCGGCUGCAGGGAGCUUGCUCCUGGUUUCAGCGGCGGACGGGUGAGUAAUGCCUAGGAAUCUGCCUGGUAGUGGGGGCUAACGUCCGGAAGCGGGCGCUAAUACCGCAUACGCCCAGAGGGAGAACGUGGGGGAUCUUCGGACCUCACGCUAUCAGGUGAGCCUAGGUCGGAUUAGCUAGUUGGUGGGGUAAAGGCCUACCAAGGCGACGAUCCGUAGCUGGUCUGAGAGGAUGAUCAGCCACACUGGAACUGAGACACGGUCCAGACUCCUACGGGAGGCAGCAGUGGGGAAUAUUGGACAAUGGGCGAAAGCCUGAUCCAGCCAUGCCGCGUGUGUGAAGAAGGUCUUCGGAUUGUAAAGCACUUUUGUUUGGGAGGAAGAGCAGUAAGUUAAUACCUUGCUGUUUUGACGUUACCAACAGAAUAAGCACCGGCUAACUUCGUG
rnacentral:rRNA from 1 species